CCUACGGGUGGCAGCAGUGGGGAAUAUUGCACAAUGGGGGAAACCCUGAUGCAGCGACGCCGCGUGAGUGAAGAAGUAUUUCGGUAUGUAAAGCUCUAUCAGCAGGGAAGAAAAUGACGGUAGCUGACGAAGAAGCCGCGGCUAACUACGAGCCAGCAGCCGCGGGAAGACGUAGGGGGCAAGCGUUAUCCGGAUUUACUGGGUGGAAAGGAGGCGGAGACGGCCAGACAAGUCAGAAGUGAAAACCCGCGGCUCAACUUCGGGAAUGCUUUUGAUACUGUUUGGCUGGAGUGCAGGAGAGGUAAGUGGAAUUCCUAGUGUAGCGGUGAAAUGCGUAGAUAUUAGGAGGAACACCAGUGGCGAAGGCGGCUUACUGGACUGUAACUGACGUUGAGGCUCGAAAGCGUGGGGAGCAAACAGGAUUAGAUACCCGAGUAGUC
rnacentral:rRNA from 1 species